UUUAUUAAAAGAAAAAGGGAUGAAAAGAACAAAGUUUUGUCCAUCUUUGUUCAUCAUAGCCUAAAGUUAGAGAAGAGAAAGGAGAGGAGAAAGCUCUUGAAUGUUCAGUCACUUGGGGAAGAAAAUUGAAGGAAAUCCCCAACCAUAGUGGGCUUGGAGCUGUGAGGGAAUUCGGAGUGGCCACCCAUUCUGAAAGUUUGGUUUUCUUCUGGUGAACUGGACAUCCUUUUAUUUAUGUUUGAAGUUUUGUUUUUUUUUAAAUGUAAUAAGGCCGCUUAAUUAUUUUUGAUGGUUUUAAUAUGUAUUACUAAGAUAGGUAUUACUUA